rnacentral:rRNA from 1 species
AGUGAACGCUGGCGGUAGGCCUAACACAUGCAAGUCGAACGGCAGCACAGUAAGAGCUUGCUCUUACGGGUGGCGAGUGGCGGACGGGUGAGGAAUACAUCGGAAUCUACUUUUUCGUGGGGGAUAACGAAGGGAAACUUACGCUAAUACCGCAUACGACCUACGGGGGAAAGCAGGGGAUCUUCGGACCUUGCGCGAUUGAAUGAGCCGAUGUCGGAUUAGCUAGUUGGCGGGGUAAAGGCCCACCAAGGCGACGAUCCGUAGCUGGUCUGAGAGGAUGAUCAGCCACACUGGAACUGAGACACGGUCCAGACUCCUACGGGAGGCAGCAGUGGGGAAUAUUGGACAAUGGGCGCAAGCCUGAUCCAGCCAUACCGCGUGGGUGAAGAAGGCCUUCGGGUUGUAAAGCCCUUUUGUUGGGAAAGAAAAGCAGCAGGUUAAUACCCCGCUGUUCUGACGGUACCCAAAGAAUAAGCACCGGCUAACUUCGUG